AAAAAAGAGGAAAAAUUUGAACUGAUUGCAACCUCUUAAUACUAAGAAUUAGUAUUAAAAAAAAUGCUAAAGCAGUACUU
rnacentral:ncRNA from 1 species